GUGGAGCUUAUUUAGUAUUUUCUUUCUGCUCGUCUAAGCAGGGAUCCGUCUUUUUUAUACAUGACGAAAAACGAUGCCGUGGGAAGUUUUCAUUUACAAUCAUCUCUCAGUUCUCAGUAGACAUUCACACUUUAUGAGAAGAGAUGACAUUUUACAGCAAUGGCCUGUUGGAUUAAGUAGGAGCUGAGAAACCAGAGGAUGUUGCUGAAUUGAAUUGUAAAAGGUAUUUCAAAGUGAGAUAUCAUACGCCCACCAGAAACAACUGAAGGUGUGACCUCAAUAUAUGGGACGAGCUAAAUGUUGCAUGAAUGCAGUAAUAUCGUUAUCCUGUAGGAGGCAUAGUGUGCUAUGAACAGCUUGUGGACAAAUCUGGUGCUUGCUGGCUGUAACAGCAACUCCAUGUGGAAGUUGUCUGUGUUCCAGUGGAGAUGCUGUUACCUGCAGAGAGUCACCCCCUAGCCAGCUCUGACAUGGAAUCAAUGUUUAGAAUAUCACAGUCCUUAUUUAUUAUGGCUGUUCUGAUGUUUCUCCUCUUUCGGUUGAACUCAGUUAUAUCUGCUUUCACCACAUUGUCAUGUAUUUUUUGAUUUGUAUUAUUAAGAACAGUCUCUAGAUCAUUCAAGAGAUAUGGGCUCCUUGUUUUCAAUGACAACAUCAUGUGAAGAUAUGUAUGCCCUCCAAACUUUGGUUUGAAUUCAGAGUAGGGAUGCAUGGGAUGCAUGGUGAUGACCUAUGAAUUGACAGCCAGUGUCUGCAACACAACUGCCUGUCAGUUCUGUAGGCCACUGCUGUGUCUAUCCUACUGAGCACACACAGGGGUUUAGAUGGAGCAAAGGAACUCAUUGAUAUGUUUGAUAAAUUGUCAGAAACCUAUGAUGUAUUUGUGAAACCCCUGAGAAUAUUCUGUAUAGUAUACAUUUGCAAGUUAUUUGAAGACAAUACAAUUGCUUUGUUGCCAACCUUGGAAAUAAAGAUUGAAAACACUCUCUGAUUGUUUAAAUAAUAUAAUUAAGCAAUAAGGUACGAGAGGGUGUGGUAUGUGGCCAAUAACCACAGCUAAGGGUUGUUCUUAAGCACGACGGAGCACUCGGAUACAGCCCUUAGCCGUGGUAUAUUGGCCAUAUACCACAAACCCCUGAGGUGCC
ensembl:lncRNA